AAAUUGAAGAGUUUGAUCAUGGCUCAGAUUGAACGCUGGCGGCAGGCCUAACACAUGCAAGUCGAACGGUAGCACAGAGAGCUUGCUCUCGGGUGACGAGUGGCGGACGGGUGAGUAAUGUCUGGGAAACUGCCUGAUGGAGGGGGAUAACUACUGGAAACGGUGGCUAAUACCGCAUAACGUCGCAAGACCAAAGAGGGGGACCUUCGGGCCUCUUGCCAUCAGAUGUGCCCAGAUGGGAUUAGCUUGUUGGUGAGGUAACGGCU
rnacentral:rRNA from 3 species